rnacentral:rRNA from 1 species
CCUACGGGAGGCAGCAGUGGGGAAUAUUGGACAAUGGGCGAAAGCCUGAUCCAGCCAUGCCGCGUGUGUGAAGAAGGCCUUCGGGUUGUAAAGCACUUUCAGUGGGGAAGAAAGCCUUGGGGCUAAUACCCUCGAGGAAGGACAUCACCCACAGAAGAAGCACCGGCUAACUCCGUGCCAGCAGCCGCGGUAAUACGGAGGGUGCGAGCGUUAAUCGGAAUUACUGGGCGUAAAGCGCGCGUAGGCGGUCUGAUAAGCCGGUUGUGAAAGCCCCGGGCUCAACCUGGGAACGGCAUCCGGAACUGUCAGGCUAGAGUGCAGGAGAGGAAGGGAGAAUUCCCGGUGUAGCGGUGAAAUGCGUAGAGAUCGGGAGGAAUACCAGUGGCGAAGGCGGCCUUCUGGACUGACACUGACGCUGAGGUGCGAAAGCGUGGGUAGCAAACAGGACUAGAUACCCGAGUAGUC